CUUUCGCCUGUGAUGAUAAUGACAGUAGCAGGUAAAGAAACCCCGGCUAACUCCGUGCCAGCAGCCGCGGUAAUACGGAGGGGGUUAGCGUUGUUCGGAAUUACUGGGCGUAAAGCGCACGUAGGCGGAUURGAAAGUWUGGGGUGAAAUCCCAGGGCUCAACCCUGGAACUGCCUCAUAAACUUCUAGUCUAGAGUUCGAGAGAGGUGAGUGGAAUUCCGAGUGUAGAGGUGAAAUUCGUAGAUAUUCGGAGGAACACCAGUGGCGAAGGCGGCUCACUGGCUCGAUACUGACGCUGAGGUGCGAAAGUGUGGGGAGCAAACAGGAUUAGAUACCCUGGUAGUCCACACCGUAAACGAUGAAUGCCAGUCGUCGGCAAGCAUGCUUGUCGGUGACACACUAWCGGAUUAAGCAUUCG
rnacentral:rRNA from 1 species